rnacentral:rRNA from 1 species
UACGUAGGGUGCGAGCGUUAAUCGGAAUUACUGGGCGUAAAGCGUGCGCAGGCGGUUGUGUAAGACAGGUGUGAAAUCCCCGGGCUUAACCUGGGAACUGCGCUUGUGACUGCACGGCUAGAGUACGGCAGAGGGGGGUGGAAUUCCACGUGUAGCAGUGAAAUGCGUAGAGAUGUGGAGGAACACCGAUGGCGAAGGCAGCCCCCUGGGCCUGUACUGACGCUCAUGCACGAAAGCGUGGGGAGCAAACAGGAUUAGAUACCCUGGUAGUCCACGCCCUAAACGAUGUCGACUAGUUGUUCGGAGAGGAAACUUUCUGGGUAACGCAGCUAACGCGUGAAGUCGACCGCCUGGGGAGUACGGUCGCAAGAUUAAA